CAAUGGGGGAAACCCUGAUGCAGCGACGCCGCGUGAAGGAAGAAGUAUCUCCNUAUGUAAACUUCUAUCAGCAGGGNAAGAUAAUGACGGUACCUGCACUAAGAAGCCCCGGCUAACUACGUGCCAGCAGCCGCGGUAAUACGUAGGGAGCGAGCGUUGUCCGGAAUUACUGGGUGUAAAGGGAGCGUAGGCGGGAUCGCAAGUCAGAUGUGAAAACUAUGGGCUUAACCCAUAAACUGCAUUUGAAACUGUGGUUCUUGAGUGAAGUAGAGGUAAGCGGAAUUCCUAGUGUAGCGGUGAAAUGCGUAGAUAUUAGGAGGAACAUCAGUGGCGAAGGCGGCUUACUGGGCUUUAACUGACGCUGAGGCUCGAAAGCGUGGGGAGCAAACAGGAUUAGAUACCCUGGUAGUCCAAGGGCGAAUUC
rnacentral:rRNA from 1 species